UGCCACCUCAUGGUUACCCAGCUCCGUAAGGGGAAAAAAUCCGAAGAGUCGCCUUGGCCCAGGCAUCACCAGGCUGCCACGGCGUUCUAGGCGCCAUGCUGCGCUCAGCCGGGGGUGGCGGGAGGCUGGAACGCGGGAGGUCGCUGUGGGAGCCUCUGCAAGCGCAGCGUGGAGGGAGGGCUGCCUUGCCUGACGGCACAGGCUCUCCUGCCUGCAGGCCUUUGGUGGGACAUGGGGAGGCCAGAUGUGUGCUUGCUGGAGAUGGCUGUGCCUGCGGAGGACCCCUGGAGGAGGAGCGAGGCUGUGCUGGGAGAGGCGAGGCCAGGCUGCUGCAGUAACCAGGGGAGGGACGACUGCCUGAGUCGGGGCACCGCAGGAGGUGGGAGGUCAGAGCAAUUAAGAGAGUUGCUCUACAAGCCGUGUUGGGAUGGAGUCCUUGUUCCUGCAGCACAAAGCAUGUCUGUCUACACCCUGGGGACAGCCUGCUAUGAGCUGUGCAUUACAGAUUCUACCUGCCUGUUUCCUGGGGUUCUGUGUGGCCGGAGGCAAGCAUAUCCUUUUUCAAGGCUGCUGUCAAAUUUGAGCUUGAAAAAUGUGUUUGGUGGCAUGGGACAUGGAUUGGGUUAGGAGAGUUCCUCUCCACAAGCUGAAGCUGAAAAAUUGUCAAAGCACAUGGAUUUUCAGGGGGUUCUUGGGGUUCCUUGGCUUAGGCUAAAGGUAUGAGGUGACAUAUUCUACCUCCCCCCCCCCAUGUGCUCAAUACCUCUCUCUCAGUCCAACUGGGAGAGACACUGUUGAAAGCUUGCAUUGUUUAGGGCUGCUUCAGUUGCAAGUUAUAGAAACCCAAGUCGAAGUAGCUUAAGCAAAGAGGGAAUUUAUUAACCCACAGCUGGAUACUGCCUUCAGGCACAGUUUGAUCCAGGGGUUCAAACAAUAUCAUCAGGGCUUUGUCUUUCUUGGGCCCCCAGCUUUGUCUCCUUCUGCAUCCUGUCUUGGCUUUAUUGUGCAGAUGGGAUUUCUUCCUGUGUCAAGAAGAUGACAGCUGGUGGCCUUAGAUUCACAUGUUUCCAGUCAAUGAAUUCCCAGAAACAACUUCUGUCUUUCACAUCUCAGAGAAGACUUAACUGGUUUGCUCAGGACCAUGUACAUUAAUGAACCAAUCAACAUAGGGAGGGUCCUCUGACUGGGCGGCCUGGGCUGCUUGCCCACCCUUACAUUUCUGGAAGCAGGUAGGGUGGCCAUGAUUGGCAGCCGCACCAGUACCAGCUGGAGAGGGAGAGAAGUUCCCCAGGGAAAACAGGGGAAGGCGGUUGGGGAAGUGAGUUGAAUAUGCAAAGCCAUGCUGCCACACUCCUCUCCGAGGGACUUGCCCAGGAGGACUUCUGUCUUCAAAUCAGAAUGGCAGCACAGGAAUGUUAAAACUUGUCAAGUCCACUCCAACUCACUCGACAAAUAAGAGGGCUGAGGCCAAGGUAAGUGCCUUGCUCAAAGUCAUCCUUCAUUCUCCUGCAGAGGCAUGACAUCAUUCCUGGCUCUGGCUCUAAUUAUUCCAGUCAAGAGCCAAGCGCAGUGGCCAAAGGGUUGUCUGAGAAUCCCCUCUUCCCCCAGAGUGGCUCAGCAGACGGCCAGGAGGGGAGGGGAGGAUUGCAGAUCUCCUUCCUGAUCAGCCCAAGGCAUUUGUCUCUCCCACUCUUCGCCCUAAUCGGGGUCAGGGGCCAGGAGCCCUCUCACUCCUCCUCUGCCAGCUGAGGCCAAGGAGACUGCAAAUGGCUGUCAGGACCUGCGAAGGUGUGGCCGGGAGAUUACAAAACAGGGAGGGUGCAAGUCUCCUUCCCGCCUCCUGGCAGCAGGACAUAGGAGAGCUUGUCUUGGACUCUGGACUGGGAACCAGCACCCAGCGGGGACUGCACCAGGACAACCUGGCCAGUUUCUUCCACUGCUGAGUUUGGACUUCAGAUCAGAUGCCCUAGGACAGAGCCUUCCGGGAUUCCCGUGAUGUGAAUUUCCUGGGCCAGUGGGAAUGGCUGCCGCCUGCUGCUUCCAGGGUGAAUGUGAAGGUCAGCUCAGGUCCCUGGACACACACUGAGCUGGGUGCCCCCACCUUGAUGUCCAGAGAUGUGACCCUCCUGGACAGUGGGCAUGGUCUGGGAGCCUCCCACAGCUGCCAAGAGCCAUUCUUUCCGGGGCUGUCCCUUUGUGAAGGGAUGUGGCUGCACAAGACCAGCUCAGGGGCAGAGGGGAGCCUCGUUCCCCCAGCCAGGCCUCCCCUCUGGUCUAGCCCCUGGUGUGACUCCUCACAGCGCCCAUUCCUCCUGCAAAGGAAAUGCCAAGGCCUAUGCCCCUGAUUACAAAAGAGGGCUUCCAAGCUGCAAAUCUGCUUCCAACAGCCAGAGUGCAGACCCUAAGUAACCCCAAGUCGAAAACUUGCGCGCAGGACCCAAGUGCGCAUGUGUGCACACGUAUGUCUCCUCUCGGUCCCUCCCACAAUCCCUCACUCAAGCAGGCCCACGUUCGCUCGCUCAUCCUCACACAUGUGUGCACGCACGCAGCCACCCUGUGCCUGUGCCAGACAGCAGUCAAUCCAGCUCAGCUCAUGGUUUUGAUCAUGAUGCUCUGGGAAGAAAGAGAGAAUGUGAUUGGCGAGGCCCCACUGCCAGACUGCAGGACUUUUCCGGUUAUGCCCACCCCCAGGUGGUCAGCUCUCAGGUUUCCCCACCCCUUCAAGGCUGAGGGAGGAGGGGUGCACGCUGCCCCUGAGAAAGGACACAGAGACUUCCACCCCGACACCUCGUUUAUCUGGUCGUCUACACCAUGUGCACAUUCUGGGUGAGACGCAGAGAUUCCGGACUCCUCUAGAUCACACGCACAGUGGUUUUCAACCUGGGGUGAUUUUGUCCCCCAAGGACAUGUGACAACGUCUGGAGACAUUUUUCGUUGACACAAAUGGAGAGGGUGUUUACCAGCAUCCCUGGCUUCUAAACAUCCUGUGAUGAACAAGAUGGUUCCCUACAAAGAAGGAUGAGCCCAAAUGCCAUGAGGGCUGAGCUUGAGGAACCUGCUGCAGCAGGUCCGGCUGCUGUCGUUGUGAUUCUGCUACUAGCAUCUCUCCCCGCUGCUAAUGAGGGAAUCCAAUCCAUAGCAGGGUGGGAGACUAAUCAGUCAAGCUUGCUAAGAUUGGUUCUAAAAUAAGAGUAAAGACGUACAGAAUCCAGCCCCAGGGACUACUCUUGUGAGUCAAGGGCACAGGCUUUGUGAUCCUGACUUAGGCUUGACUGGGGCUCAGGAACCGCACUGAUGACUCGGUAGCUCUUAACAAGGUGGGAGGGGCCGGGGACAGAGAUGCUGGGCCUUCAAGAGCCGUGUUCACACACACAGAAUAGACCCUUCCCUAAGGCAUCAGUCUGGGGUCUCUGAUGCUCCAAGAGGCCUGGUUGAACCCUGGCUACUUCUGUGGUUUGUGCCUCUUCUAUCUGGCCAUGGGGUCCUGGCAUGGCCUCCACCCCUCAGUGUGCAAUUUCUGGCCACGCCCCGUACUUCCCUCCAGCCCAGAAUUUGGCUUUGAUGCUCCGUCUUUUCCCGACACUCCUCCUGGCUCCCACGCUGCAGCCAGGCAGAUAGAACAAUAGGCUCCCUUUCCUCCCUCUGGGUUUUCUACAGUGUUCUGCAUGGGCAAGGGGGUCACACUCAUGACCCCCGGGUAAGCGAAGCUUUACCAUAUUUGGUUUGGGAAUGCACCAUUUGUGUGACGUGCCAACACUUUGUUCUUGGCUCGGGCUUGCUCAUUCCAAAUUUCUAAGGACUUCUUUGGUUGCGAGUGACAGAAAUCGACUCUGGCUGGGCUAAGCAAAACAGGAAACCUACUGGAAAGACCCCAAAGACAUCUCAGGCAUUCCGGGGCAGAGCUCUGCUAGGCCUCGGGGUGGACUAAAACCAGGGAUGGGGCCAUCGUGGAAGCUCAGCAAGGCCUCCCUCCCCUCUUUGGCCUCUGCCUCCUGCUCCUGCUGCCCCAUCUGCUUUCUGGGAUGUGCAGAACUGGGGGGGGGGGGGGAAUGCCCGGUGAAAACAACAGCAGCCGGGUUUACAUGUCUUCCAUCCAAGGGAGCAACCAGCCUGGGCCGGAACCUCUUGGUCCUGAUUCAACAUUCCUUCGGGGGAAGGACUUCUUCCGUUGUAGGUGUGCAAACAAAAUACUAGGUAUCCUUGGUAACACUUACAUAUUGAUGGCCAAGAGGGGACAUUGAAAGAGAGCUUGUCAAAGGCACGGAGGAGAGUUCCUGUGUUGGGUAAUGAGCUGUGAACGGCUGGGCGGGGUUGAAAUGAAACCAGAGGGACUCAAGUAGCCAAAUCCCACUCAACCCAACGCACUUGGAGGAGAAACCGCUGUGGCUCUAAUCAGACUCAGACAGACAGAAAACUACAGCAUCAAGCUGGGCUGUCUAGAACAGCGUCAGAGUUCCCUGCAGGGCCUGGGACAUGGUGGUAUCCAGCAAAUGUUCGCUGAAUGAACGUAUGACCACACACAUGCUUGACACAUCUGGGAUGGUGGGUGAAAGUGUAGUCAUGAACAUGUUGACUCAGAAUGUGCUACUCUGCCAUUAUUAUUGGCUAUCAGAGGUUUCUGUCUUCUGUGGGGGGUGGGUGGGGAGGAACUGUUCUUACCCUAAUCUUAUUCUGGAGGGAUUAAUCCAAAAGGCUCUCACCAAUGGAAGUUUCAGCCUGCUUAGUACUGUCUCCACCCCCAAGCUGCUGCAGAAACCUACAAUCAUCCAAGCACUCCUGGGUGCUCUUGGUCAGGUUACCCACCACCUUCUCCCAUCUGCAAAUGGAGGCAGUUCAGACUGCCCGGGGAUGUCGGGGGUCUUGCCUCUGAGGGAGGGUGCUCCAAAGGCUGCUCCUGCCAAUUGGCCCUGACCCAUCACGGUUCCCUGCACUACACCAGUCACCUCUGUAGUAAUAACUCUUCAAGACAUCCCUCCUCUCUGUGCCUCAGUUCAGGCCAUUACAUUUCUCUCCUGGUAUAUUCCUAUAAUCUCCCAACUGGUCUUUCUGCCUGGAGGCUAACUAACCACCUAUGACGGUUUUACAAUAUGUCUGCAAAUAUUCAACAGGCCUCUCUCCAAAACAUGGAGCCUGAUUCCUCUCUCCUUGAGUGGAGGCUGGACUUACUGACUCACUUCUCACAGACUGUGGCAGAAGUGAGCGUGAAUAGGUCAUAAAAGCACUGAGCCUUUCUCCUUAUUCGCUCCUGGACCACAGGCUCUGAUGCUAGCUGCCAUGGAGAGGCCUUGUGUUGAGGAACCGAGGCCUCUGCGGACAGCAUGUGAGCUGGCCGGCCUGGAAGCACAUCCCCAGCCCGCUCCAGCCUUCAGACAGCGUGACUGGAACCUCAGAAGAAACCCUGAAUAGGACGUUGGAACUUUAAGAUGGGAGUCUGCCAACCUCCUCAUUUGCCGGCAAAUUAAUAAACUUCUCUUUCCUUCUCCUCAAAAGAAAAAGAAACCCUGAACGAUAACCACCCACCUAAGCUUCUCCUGGAUCCCUCACCCUCAGAAACCAUGUGAAAGAAUAAACAUUUAUCAUCUUA